UAUGUUUGUCCUUUUCCAAUGCCCUCACAGGUGAGACUGUGUGUUGUUGGUGGACUCUGUGAAAGAAUUGUGUGAGCUGAAGCCACAGCAACAGAACUGGCUAUAAAAUGAAGCGUAGAGAAGAGUCGUUGAAUUUCCAGGUUAUUCGCUCAGUACUUUAUGACCCAGACUGCCUUUUGGAUCAGAAAGAUAUCAGAAGCUAUAAAACACAAAGCCAGGAUUUGUUAUCACGAGAGUGUUCAGAAGGACAGCAGCCCUGAGUAUGUGCCAUCCUGCGCUCAUCAGAUGAUCCUCUGUUCUCUUGACUCUACAACCCCUGUCCGUCUCUGGGUAGAGGACAGAUGAGGCCAGAGUCAAAGCUGGCUGCCGGUGCUAGCUGCCCAUCCACUGAGCUGAGUUACUGUGUCGCCACAGGCACACCUGUUAAGGUUGGGACUCUCUCCGUUUCAGCAAGUUUGUAUCAGGCCACACCUGCUGCUCUGAGCCCUGAGAAGUGUGACUCUCACAAGACUGUGAGGACAGCCCAGUUGGCCUUUGGAGCCAGGCUGCCUCAUUUCCCAUGGCUUUGAGCCCGCCUGUGGCCACAUCCCCGGCUCCAGUCUCCCUCAGCACGCCAGAUGCCAGCUGGUGUUCCCAAAGAGCUAUCGUAUCAGUG